rnacentral:tRNA from 1 species
GGAAUAUAGCUUAGUUGGUAGAGUGCUUGCCUUGCAUGCCCAAGAACCUGGGUUCAAUACUCAGCACCA